GCACUGUAUAGCUCAGUUGGUUAGAGCUUGGUACUGAGAACUCCAAGGUUGCAGGUUCAAUCCCAAUACGGGACA